UACAGAGGGUGCGAGCGUUAAUCGGAAUUACUGGGCGUAAAGCGUGCGUAGAUGGUUAUGUAAGUCGGAUGUGAAAGCCCCGGGCUCAACCUGGGAAUGGCAUUCGAGACUGCAUAGCUAGGAUGCGGAAGAGGGAAGCGGAAUUUCCGGUGUAGCGGUGAAAUGCGUAGAUAUCGGAAGGAACACCAGUGGCGAAAGCGGCUUCCUGGUCCAGCAUCGACGUCAGGCACGAAAAGCGUGGGGGAGCAAACAGG
rnacentral:rRNA from 1 species